rnacentral:rRNA from 1 species
UACGUAGGGGGCUAGCGUUGUCCGGAAUCAUUGGGCGUAAAGAGCGCGUAGGCGGCCAGAUAAGUCCGGUGUGAAAGUCACAGGCUCAACCUGUGAAUGCCGCUGGAAACUGUCUGGCUAGAGUCCGGAAGGGGCGAGUGGAAUUCCUGGUGUAGCGGUGAAAUGCGCAGAUAUCAGGAGGAACACCAAUGGCGAAGGCGGGUCUCUGGGCCGAUACUGACGCUGAGGUGCGAAAGCGUGGGGAGCAAACAGG